CAGUCGCCACGGUAAUACGUAGGGUGCGAGCGUUAAUCGGAAUUACUGGGCGUAAAGGGCUCGCGGGCGGUUUCUUAAGUCUGAUGUGAAAGCCCCCGGCUCAACCGGGGAGGGUCAUUGGAAACUGGGAAACUUGAGUGCAGAAGAGGAGAGUGGAAUUCCACGUGUAGCGGUGAAAUGCGUAGAUAUUAGGAGGAAUACCAGUGGCGAAGGCGACUUUCUGGACUGCAACUGACACUGAGGCACGAAAGCGUGGGGAGCAAACAGGAUUAGAUACCCGAGUAGUCCCUGUCUCUUAUAA
rnacentral:rRNA from 1 species